AUUGAACGCUGGCGGCAUGCCUUACACAUGCAAGUCGAACGGUAACGGGCCUUCGGGUGCCGACGAGUGGCGAACGGGUGAGUAAUACAUCGGAACGUGCCCGAUCGUGGGGGAUAACGAGGCGAAAGCUUUGCUAAUACCGCAUACGAUCUACGGAUGAAAGCAGGGGACCGCAAGGCCUUGCGCGGACGGAGCGGCCGAUGGCAGAUUAGGUAGUUGGUGGGAUAAAAGCUUACCAAGCCGACGAUCUGUAGCUGGUCUGAGAGGAUGAUCAGCCACACUGGGACUGAGACACGGCCCAGACUCCUACGGGAGGCAGCAGUGGGGAAUUUUGGACAAUGGGCGCAAGCCUUAUCCAGCCAUGCCGCGUGCAGGAUGAAGGCCUUCGGGUUGUAAACUGCUUUUGUACGGAACGAAAAGCCUUCUUUUAAUACAGGAGGGUCAUGACGGUACCGUAAGAAUAAGCACCGGCUAACUACGUG
rnacentral:rRNA from 1 species